rnacentral:rRNA from 1 species
UAACCUGCCUUAUAGUGGGGGAGUAGCCUUUCGAAAGGAAGAUUAAUACCGCAUAAGAUUGUAGUAUCGCAUGAUAUAGCAAUUAAAGGAGCAAUUCGCUAUAAGAUGGACCCGCGUCGCAUUAGCUAGUUGGUGAGGUAAUGGCUCACCAAGGCGACGAUGCGUAGCCGACCUGAGAGGGUGAUCGGCCACAUUGGGACUGAGACACGGCCCAGACUCCUACGGGAGGCAGCAUG